ACUCCUACGGGAGGCAGCAGUGGGGAAUAUUGGACAAUGGGCGAAAGCCUGAUCCAGCCAUGCCGCAUGAGUGAAGAAGGCCUUUGGGUUGUAAAGCUCUUUUAGUGAGGAAGAUAAUGACGGUACUCACAGAAGAAGUCCUGGCUAACUCCGUGCCAGCAGCCGCGGUAAUACGGAGAGGGCUAGCGUUAUUCGGAAUUAUUGGGCGUAAAGGGCGCGUAGGCUGGUUAAUAAGUUAAAAGUGAAAUCCCGAGGCUUAACCUUGGAAUUGCUUUUAAAACUAUUAAUCUAGAGAUUGAAAGAGGAUAGAGGAAUUCCUGAUGUAGAGGUAAAAUUCGUAAAUAUUAGGAGGAACACCAGUGGCGAAGGCGUCUAUCUGGUUCAAAUCUGACGCUGAAGCGCGAAGGCGUGGGGAGCAAACAGGAUUAGAUACCCGUGUAGUCC
rnacentral:rRNA from 1 species